UACGGAGGGUGCGAGCGUUGUCCGGAAUCACUGGGCGUAAAGGGCGCGUAGGCGGCCGAGCAAGGUCGCGGUGAAAGCCCGGGGCUCAACCCCGGGUCGGCCGUGGCAACUACUCGGCUCGAGCACUGUAGGGGCGGGUGGAAUUCCCGGUGUAGAGGUGAAAUUCGUAGAUAUCGGGAGGAACACCAGUGGCGAAGGCGGCGAUCUGGGAAGAUACUGACGCUGAGGUGCGAAAGCGUGGGGAGCAAACAGG
rnacentral:rRNA from 1 species